CCUACGGGCGGCAGCAGUAGGGAAUCUUUCACAAUGGGCGAAAGCCUGAUGGAGCAACGCCGCGUGCAGGAUGAAGGCCUUCGGGUUGUAAACUGCUUUUAUAAGCGAGAAAUAUGAUGGUAACUUAUGAAUAAGGAUCGGCUAACUACGUGCCAGCAUCCGCGGUCAUACGUAGGAUCCGAGCAUUAUCCGGAGUGACUGGGUGUAAAGAGUUGCGUAGGUGGCAUAAUAAGUAGCUAGUGAAAUCUGGUGGCUCAACCAUUCAGACUAUUAGCUAAACUGUUAAGCUCGAGACCGUUAGGGGUAACUGGAAUGUCUAGUGUAGGAGUGAAAUCCGUAGAUAUUAGAAGGAACACCAAUAGCGUAGGCAGGUUGCUGGGACGGUUCUGACACUAAGGCACGAAAGCGUAGGGAGCAAACGGGAUUAGAUACCCGAGUAGUC
rnacentral:rRNA from 1 species